UACGGGGGGAGCAAGUGUUAUUCAUUUAUACUGGGCGUAAAGGGUGCGUAGGUUGUUAAUUAAGUUUGAAUUGUAAAAUCUAAGCGUAAACUUAGAAAAUAAUUGCCUUUACUAAUUAACUAAGAGGAUGUAGGGAGAUAGUUGUAUUUUUAAAGUAAAGUUAAAAUUUUUAUAUAUUAGAGGGACGAUCGAUGGCGAAAGCAACUUUCUAUAACAUAACUGACGCUGAAGCACGAAAGCAUGGGUAUCCAACAGG
rnacentral:rRNA from 1 species